rnacentral:rRNA from 1 species
UAGGUAUGCUUAGGGAGGAGCUUGCGUCACAUUAGUUAGUUGGUGGGGUAAAGGCCUACCAAGACUAUGAUGUGUAGCCGGGCUGAGAGGUUGAACGGCCACAUUGGGACUGAGACACGGCCCAAACUCCUACGGGAGGCAGCAGUAGGGAAUUUUCGGCAAUGGAGGAAACUCUGACCGAGCAACGCCGCGUGAACGAUGAAGUAUUUCGGUACGUAAAGUUCUUUUAUUAGGGAAGAAUAAAUGAUGGAAAAAUCAUUCUGACGGUACCUAAUGAAUAAGCCCCGGCUAACUAUGUGCCAGCAGCCGCGGUAAUACAUAGGGGGCAAGCGUUAUCCGGAAUUAUUGGGCGUAAAGGGUGCGUAGGCGGUUAAAUAAGUUUAUGGUCUAAGUGCAAUGCUCAACAUUGUGAUGCUAUAAAAACUGUUUAGCUAGAGUAAGAUAGAGGCAAGUGGAAUUCCAUGUGUAGUGGUAAAAUGCGUAAAUAUAUGGAGGAACACCAGUAGCGAAGGCGGCUUGCUGGGUCUUUACUGACGCUGAGGCACGAAAGCGUGGGGAGCAAACAGGAUUAGAUACCCUGGUAGUCCACGCCGUAAACGAUGAGUACUAAACGUUGGGUAAAACCAGUGUUGAAGUUAACACAUUAAGUACUCCGCCUGAGUAGUACGUACGCAAGUAUGAAACUUAAAGGAAUUGACGGGACUCCGCACAAGCGGUGGAUCAUGUUGUUUAAUUCGAAGGUACCCGAAAAACCUUACCGGGUCUUGACAUGCUUCUGCAAAGCUGUAGAAACACAGUGGAGGUUAUCAGUUGCACAGGUGGUGCAUGGUUGUCGUCAGCUCGUGUCGUGAGAUGUUGGGUUAAGUCCCGCAACGAGCGCAACCCUUAUUGUUAGUUACCAGCACGUAAUGGUGGGGACUUUAGCAAGACUGCCAGUGAUAAAUUGGAGGAAGGUGGGGACGACGUCAAAUCAUCAUGCCCCUUAUGACCUGGGCUACAAACGUGAUACAAUGGCUGUUACAAAGGGUAGCUGAAGCGCAAGUUUUUGGCGAAUCUCAAAAAAACAGUCUCAGUUCGGAUUGAAGUCUGCAACUCGACUUCAUGAAGU